rnacentral:tRNA from 1 species
GGAAUGUGGCUCAGUGGUAGAGUGCCUGCCUAGCAUGCAUGAAGCCCUAGGUUCGAUUCCUUAGUACCA